UUACACACCGCCCGUCACACCAUGGGAGCGGUUCCACCAGAAGUAGUUAGCCUAACCGCAAGGAGGGCGACUACCACGGUGAGAUUCAUGACUGGGGUG
rnacentral:rRNA from 1 species